CGUGUAGGCUGCUUCGCAAGUCGGAUGUGAAAGCCCUGGGCUCAACCCAGGAAGUGCAUUCGAAACUGCAGAGCUGGAGUCCUGGAGAGGAAGGCGGAAUUCUCGGUGUAGAGGUGAAAUUCGUAGAUAUCGAGAGGAACACCGGUGGCGAAGGCGGCCUUCUGUACAGUGACUGACGCUGAGACCGAAAGCGUGGGGGGCAAACA
rnacentral:rRNA from 1 species